CUCCCAUAUUUUGUCCAGGUCCCUCUGCAAUGCCUCACAGUCUUUCACAUCAUUGACUCGUCUCAAGAGCUUUGCAUCAUCUACAAACAAACUCACAUAGCUGGUCACUCCGUCCACCAUAUCAUUUAUAUAAACAGCAAACAUUAAUGGUGCCAGCACUGAACCUUGUGGGACCCCACUCCUCACUGGGCACCAGUUGGAAACCUUGUCCUUGAUUAUUGUCCUCAUUUCCCUGUUAGUUAGGAAGUCCUCCAUCCACUUAAUAAGUCCAUCACCCACUCCACCUCUAUUUUUAAUUUUCCAAAUUAGUCUUCUGUGCAGUACUUUGUCGAAUGCCUUUUUCAAAUCCAGGUACACUCCAUCCCCCGAGCCUUCUCUCUCUUGUAUUAAAUCUGUCACCCUUGAGUAAUAACAUAAGUUGGUGACACAAGAUCUCCAAGCCUCCAAGAGGAUUUGCACAAAAUUUCAGCUUGGUCGGAUAGAUGGGAGAUGCUCUUUAACGUAGACAAGUGCCAGGUCCUUCAAGUUGGAACGAGGAAUAAGAAAUUUGAUUACGAAAUGUGCGGCGUUAAACUCAAAAGCGUUCAAUGCGUCAAGGACUUGGGGGUCAAAAUCGCGUCAAACCUCAAAUUCUCACAGCAAUGCAUCGAUGCAGCAAAUAAAGCGAACAGAAUGUUGGGCUUCAUUAAAAGAAACUUUUUAUUUAAGAAUAAAGAUGUAAUACUCCCGCUCUACAACAGUUUAGUCAGACCCCACUUGGAAUAUGCGGUACAGUUUUGGUCUCCCCACCAUGCAAAGGAUAUUACUAAAUUAGAAGGUGUUCAGCGUCGGGCAACGAAAAUUAUCCCUUCCUUGCGCAACAAAUCCUACGAAGAAAGGCUUUCUACCCUUAACAUGUUCUCUCUUGAGAAACGUCGCCUCCGAGGAAAACUGAUCGAAUGUUUUAAAAUACUUAAUGGUUUCACGAAUGUAGACAGAUCAACAUUGUUUAUGAUCGAUGACACUUUAAGAGAGAGGAACAAUGGCGUAAAACUCAGAUGUAGACAAGUAAAUUCAGACUGCACCAAAUUUUUCUUCACCAACGUUGUAGUGCGAGAAUGGAAUAAGCUCCCAUCAUCAGUGGUCCAGUGUAACACGAUUGACUCCUUCAAAAAUAAGCUCGACCGUCACUUCCUUCAACUUAAUAUCAACUAGAGUAGAAAUGCAACGUUUUGGAGUCUUCUGAUUAAUGUAAAAUCGCUUAGGUUUAAGGACAGACCACCAAGUCUGGACCAUGGGCCACUCUGUCUUCUGCCCGAUGCUCAUCCAAUCCCAUCACUGCCAAGUCUUCCUGUAUACACCUUCUCCACAUUUUCCUAGGUCUACCAACUGGUCUCCUUCCUUCUACCUCCAAUCUCUCCACAACUCCCAGCACUGUAUCCUCCCCUGCUCUCUUUCUCCUCCAUUCUACUUUGUCUUCUGCCCGAUGCUCAUCCAAUCCCAUCAAUGCCAAGUCUUCCUGUAUACACCUCCACGUUUUCCUAGGUCUACCAACUGGUCUUUUAUACCUCUUAAUUCAUGUUUGUGAGUUUAGAGAUAACAGAAUAGUCGCCUUUCCUAGGUCUACCAACUGGUCUCCUUCCUUCUACCUUCAAUCUCUCCAAAACUCCAAGCACUGUAUCCUCCCCUGCUCUCUUUACAUGUCCAAACCAUCAGAGUCUUUCCCUUCAGAGCACUGUUUCCUGUUAAAUGAGCUUAUAAUAUUCACUUAUACCACUUCUAAUAACACCCUAUUCAUGUUAAUUAGUCUUUUGACUUAUAAAUACACCUGAGAAAGGGGAAUUUAGGUGAAUCACGCCGUCCAACUUCCUUAUGCAAGAGUUUAUGGUUCCUUCAUUUCUUAGCCCUUCUGUUGGUUACGUCUGGACUCCUUUCUUUUCCUGUAUUUUCCUUCCUUUUCUAUAUUUUCCUUUGUUAUAGUUGUUUUCCAUCCUGUAUUUUCUUUUUCUAUAUUUUUCCUCUUUAUAUUUGUUUUCCAUAGCUGCAGUUUCCUUCCUUUACUAUAUUUCCCUUCCCUUUCCUGUAUUUUCCUUUUUUCUAUAUAUUUCUUCUUUAUAUUUGUUUUCCAUAGCUGCAGUUUCCUUCCUUUUACAAUAUUUUCCCUCCUCUUACUAUAUUUUCCCUCCUUUCACUGUAUUUUCCUUUUCUAUACUUUAAUCCUUUAGUUCUUUCAAGAGGGAGUACUUUUUUCUUCCACUUUAUUCAGUUCUUGUUUACUUUCAUUGUUCUUGGUUUUCCUCUCCUAUUCCAAAUUAAAAAUACUACUACUACUAUUACUACCACCACCACACUAACAUUAACACUAAUAAAACCAAGUAGAACAGUGGUUCUUAACCUGGGUUCGGCGAAGAUCCUCCCAAAAGACAUUGCAAUUUUGCAAUUGAAUUUUAAGCAAAUUUUCUUUAAUAUUUUUAUGGAUUAAAAUCAAAUACAUUCUUUGUAUUAUCUAAAAUUAAUAUACUCUUGAACUUUGAAGGAAUUUUUCUUGCACUUGUAUGUUUUUUUUUCUUCACUAUACUUGAGGGGUUCGGCUACUGUGCGGAGGUUUUCGUUAGGGUUCGGCACCUCUGAAAAGGUUAAGAACCACUGAACUAGAACAUUUUUUCUACUUUUCAUUCAGCUCUUGGCUUUUCUUUCCCAUAAAAUAUAAAUACUACUAUCACUACUACUACUUCUAUUCCUCUUCCUUCUCCUUCUACUACUAUCACUACCACUACUGCUACAACUAUUUCUAUUCCUCUCCUAUCACUACUAAUACUAAUACUACUACCACUUUCAUUUGUACUACUACUACUACUAAUAAUAAUAAUAAACACUAACAAUAAGAAAGUUAACUAGAACAACACCCCACACCCUCCCCAAGGAUAAUAAACACCAGUACAAUGUCAUCAAAUUAUUGGUAUAUUCUAUGUGAAGAAUUAAGAUACACAGGUAAGGUAUGUUUGCUUAGUAGUAGUUUGUAGGUCAGUCUGCCGCAGCCUAACACAAGGGCCCAAUGCUGCUGCUGCCACCCCUGCCUCCGCCUUUGUAUAAUGUGUCUGUCUGUGUGGGGUUGAAAAAUAAAGUUGAAAUACAGUCCGAUGUUCAUUGAGUGACUGCAAUAGUUUGUGAAUUCUAGGGUUGAAAAUAAAGUUGAAAUACAGUCUGGCAUUCGAUUUUUACAAGCGACUGGGAUAGUUUGUGAAUUCUGGGGUUGAAAAUAAAGUUGAAAUACAGUCUGGUGUUCGUUGAGUUUUGUACGAUUUUUACAGGUGAUUGGGAUAGUUUGUGAAUUGACGGUUUUUACUUUCCCGACAUGUAGAUCUCUUUAUUAUCUUUAUUGCUGUAUUUCUUGGUGGCAUAUACGAUGGGUUAAGUCCGGAAUUAGUUAAGUUUUGGACGAGUAUAACGUAGACGGUUUUUACUUAUAUGGUUAAGUCCGGAAUUAGUUAAGUUUCAGACUAGUAUAACGUAGACGGUUUUUACUUAUUCCAACCUCUAGAUCUCUUUAUUAUUACUAUCUUUAUUUCUUGGUGGCAUAUACGAUGGGUUAAGUCUGGUAUUAGUUAAGUUUCAGACUGGUAUCAUGUAGACGAUUUUAACUCUUUCCAAUGUGUAGAUUUCUUGUCGUAUGGAAGAGAUUAGAAUAGUCUGUUUGGGGUCAAAAGAUAAAGGUAAAUGAAGUCUGGUAUUACUUAAGGUUCGGACUAGUAUCACAUAGACGGUUUCUACUCUUUACGACAUCUAGAUUUCUUGUGUGUAUAUCUGGUGAUGUAUAGAAUAGAUUCAAAUAGUCCUAUGUUGGUCAAGUCUCGAACCAGUAUCCCAUAGACAAUUUUUACUCUUACCAACACCUAGGUCUCUUUGUGUGGUUUAUGAUUAACUUUGGCAGUAAGUCAUCCCUCAAAUAGUAUUGUUUCCAAUGGUUCAGUUUUGGUUUUAUGUGGAUUUUCUAAGAUGAUUUUUUAGGAUUUUUAAAUUUCCCAAACGAGCAGGAAAUUUAAAAAUCCUAAAAGAUCUUCCAUGACAAACCGUAUAAAACCGAAACCGAACUAUUUGAGGAACGACUGUAUAUAUAACAUCGGGUUCUGGUGACAACAAACUAUUAAUAUCACUUGUAAAAAUCGUCAAUGAAUCCAGUUCUCCAAAUCACCACUAGUUGAACAGUUUUGAAUGGGCGUUACAGACAGACACUCGGACAGACAGAGGCAGCGGGAACAGAGAAACAAUAAUAAUAAUAAAAAUAAUAAUGAUCAAUAUAGUGAGUCAGCAUCAUGGAUAAAAGUUCUGGCCGGGCAGGACAAAAAUAAAGAAAAAAUAUAUAUAUAGUAUAAUAAUAAUAAUAAUAAUAAUAAUGAUAAUAAUAAUAAUAACACAGAAAUCUCACUUGCGGCAACACUAACAUUGCAGUCAAAACACCUCAGAAUAAAAUAAUAAUAAAAAUAUUAAAUAUAAAAAUAAUAAUAAUAAUAGCGUUCAAGAAAAUUAAUUUGUACUACUCAUCGUUUGCGGCACGGAUCGCCGACCACUCGACCGACAGACUAACCCCCCACCCCCUCCCUGCCCCCUUCACCCCCCAUAACCCCCUAUAAUGGAGUCAAACAAUGGGGUAGGUAGGACAGGGGGGGAGGGAAGGGGAGAGGGAGGAGGGGCUGUCAGUCUCGGGUUGUUUAUAUUCUGGAGCGAAAAAAAUAAUUAUACAAGAGAAAUAUAAUCUUGUGGAAAGGAUGAUUAUAAUAUUAUUGUUUAUACAUAGCGGUAGCGUUGGCGGGUUUUCCUGACUUUCCUUUUUUUUUCUUUGUCGUUCUUCCUUUGUCCUUCACUCACUGUGGUCCGUUCCUUCAGCCUUCAUGAGUUUGCGUUGUUGUUUUCAUCUUGUUUUUUGUUGUUCUGUUCGUUCAUCUGUUUUGUUAUUUUUCUGUCAUCCACUUUCUUCUUCCCUCUUUUCUUUUAGCUUUUUUUUUUUGGUUGCCGGUGUUUUUAUUUUGUUUUCACUUUCUUCCUUGCUCUUUUCUUUAGUCACUCUUUUCUAUUUAUUUUGGCUUCUGUCAUUCAUUUAUUGGGUCUUAGUGUUUAUUUUUUAGCUGUUUUAUAUAUGUUUUUCUUGAAUUUACCUAUCCUUUCUUAGUUAUAUUCACUAGUAACUGAUCGCUGUUCAUUUAAAGAAACAUUAUCUUGAUCUUUUGGUUAAGUUUAAAUAACAGCUUCCACAACUUUAGUAUUUCAUAACUCGACAAAAGCUUAACAAAGGACUUUUUAUAUAUUUCCUUUGCCUCCUAAUACAACAUUUGAGGAAGAAAUGUUCAACUUCAGUAACAACCAAACAUUCCGAGGCAAUUAAUCAUUUCUUGGAACUUUCUUUUCUUCAUUAAUUUCCUUUUCUUUCUAAUACAACGUCUGAGGAAGAAACGUUCGGCUCCAGUAACAACAAAUUUUCCGAGACAAUAAUUUCUUGUAACUUUUCAUUUUUUUAAAUUUCUUUCCUUUUCUUUCUGUUACAACGUCUGAGGAAGAAAAGUUUGACUCCAGUAACAAACAAACAUUCCGAGACAACUAAUCACUUCUCGGAACUUUUCUUUUUUUUUUUAAUUUCUUUCCUUUUCUUUCUAUUACAACGUCUGAGGAAGAAAAGUUUGACUCCAGUAACAAACAAACAUUCCGAGACAACUAAUCACUUCUCGGAACUUUCCUCUCGUCACCUUCGCUCGCUUGCUCCCUUCUCCGCCACAUGCAAAAGUAGCAUUUCAAAACAACAUACAAAAAAUAAUAUAAUGAUAGUACAAUGCGUCUCUAAGCCAUCCGUGGUCCUUACAGCUUAACUAACCGACGUGUUUGCAAAAAUCCAAGCACUAAAUAAAGAUACACUGGUUCACAUUCACAAAACAAAAACCUUUCAAGUGUGUUUUUCUUUAAUAUAGAUAUAAUAUAUAAAUCCAUAGAAAAUCUACUUAAGGAUAUAAUUUCAAAAAGGUUAAUAAUAAUAAUAAUAAUAAUAAUAAUAAUAGCAUUUCAUCAUCUACUAGUCAUAUAGCUAAAGAAAUUCCUGCGCUCCUUACUUACACAAGUCAAAUUAUCAUCAUUAUUCUUGUUUUAUUAGUUUAAGUUUUUUCCUCUUUCUGAAACUUCCAAGCGAGAAGCUGUUUUUUUGACACUGCUCCCGGCGGCAACGCUCGCCAGCCACGCCCAACACAUGUACAGAUAUAUUACACAACGGUAGUAGUAGUGGGAGUAAUAGUAUAACAAUAGCAUAGUAGUAGUAGUACGAGUAGUAGUAAUAAUAAUGAUAGUUAAUGAUAAUAAUAAAACUGUUUGUAGUAGUAGCAUAAUUUGUACCGACUAAAUUAACAAGAAAGGUGUAUGUAUUUUUUUAUAUAGUUUUUUGUAGUGUUUUUGUCUUUAUUUACUUACGUACCUCUACACACGAACGCUUCCCCUGCAAACGGUAAAAAAAUAUCGGGAGAUGAUUGAAAAAAAAAAUCGCUUUGACCUUAAAUAUUACGUCAUUAUUCUGUUACACAAACACGAUAAGCUUUUGUUUUUCCCUCUCAGCUUUUCUUUUUAUACUUGACUUCCCUUAUUUAUUUAUUUAUCUAUUUAAUUUACUAUUACCUAUAAACUAAGCAAGGGAGGACCAGGAGUUCGUCUUCUUAUUUAAACUGAGCAAACAUUUCUUAAGAGUGUGUGUGUGUGUGUGUAGGUAUUUGUGAAUGUGCGUUUUUUGGGAUGUGUGUGUGUGUGUAUGCGUGUAGGUAUUUGUGCAUGUGCGUUUUUUGGGAUGUGUGUGUGUCUGAAUCUGUCUUUAAGUGUGUGUGUGCGUGUGUGUAAAGCCCAUGUCAGCCUCCGCCCCAGACUAAAAAAAAAAUAAAAAAAUCCCGAGCUCAAAGAAACGAACGGGGAACAAACAAACGAAAGCGCGAACAGAAAUAAUAAAUACAAAUAAUAAUAAUAAUGAAGACAACAGUGAUAAAAAUAUAAUAAUCUCGCCGAUCUUGACGCGAAAGGAGAGAAAGAAAUAUAAAAUAAUAAUAGUUAUCUUAAAAUUCAAAAACAGAGAACAACAAAAUAAAUUAACAACUAGAAGGAAAAAGAGAAAAAAAAUGCAUAAUAAAAAGAAAAGCUGGAAAUUAGUUAAAAAAAAAAUAUGGGAAGGAAAUCAAAUAAAACAACAAUGAACGAAGAAAAUAACGGGGGGAGGAGGAGGAAGACAGGGCGAAGAAAAGGAAGAAAAUUGUUUAGAUUUCAAAUUGAUUAACCACUAGACACUUAGAAGAAGACAGGAGGAGGAGGAAGACGAGAGAGGAAGAAACAGGGAGAAAAGUUUAGAUUUCAAAUAUUUUCAACCACUAAGGAGAAUAGUAAGAAAGGAAGGAUGACAAGAGGCAAGAGAAGGAGGAGGAGGACAGAGAGAAAUACAAGAGAAGAUUAGAUACUGAUUUUAGGAAGAAAGAAAGACAAGGAAAGUUUAGAUUUAAUUAAGAAAGAAGGAAAGAAAGUGGGAGGAGGAGGAGAAAGAAUAGCAAGAGAGGAAGGAAGGCAAGAAUAGUUUAGAUUUCAAAAUGUUCAACCACUAGACACACAAUUUUAUUAAGAAAGAGAGGAAGAGAAAGAACGAGGGAGGAGGAGAAGGAAUAGAGAGAGGAAGGAAGAAAGAAAGGCGAGAAUAGUUUAGAUUCCAAAAUGUUCAACCACUAGACACACGAUUUUAUGGCGAGAGAGAAAGAAGGAAAGACAGCGGAAGGAGGAGGAAGGGCAGAAGAGAAGUUUAGAUUCCAAAAUGUUCAACCACUAGACACACGAUUUUAGAAAGAAAGAGGAAGAGCGAGAAAGAAGGAGGAAGAGUGGAAGAGAGAGAAAGGCAAAGAAAAGUAUAGAUUCCAAAAUUAUCAACCACUAGACACUGAUUUUAUGAAGAGAGAGAAAGAAAGAGGGAGGAGGAAGAGCGGAAGCGAGAGAAAGCGGAGGAAAGUUUAGAUUUCAAAAUGCAUAACUACUAAACACACAAUUAUUGGCCGAAGCCGUAAUUCCUAUUAUUAUUAUUAUUAUUAUUUUUAUCUUCACACUGACGGCUACAACAUCGCUACGAGUACAACAAUAUAUAAAAAACGCUUGUAAAAGGAGACUUGUUUGGUUCUUACUUCUUAAUUAUCUUUCAAUGCGUGUAUGUGUGUGUGUCUUAAUUUACUUACAUAUCCUAUUCAUCUAUCUAUUUACAAAGGGUGUUUUUUCCUCUCAUAUCCUUGGACACCAAUUCACACACGCCCCCCAAAAAUUGUAUCACUCACAAAUGUUGAAAUAAAAAGUAAAAAUCUAAAUUGCUCGUGAAUUUUAUGAAAAGUCGCGAGAAAAGUUGAAUUUUUCGCUUGGUGUGUGUGUGUGUGUGUGUGUGUAUAUUGUGCUAAUUAUAUACAAAUGAACUUAAAAAAAUAUAUAAUAAUGAUAAAAGCAAUUUCCAUUCUGAUUUUAUACCAUCCACUGAGUCAUAUGUGUGUGUGUGUGUAAGUGUGUGUGCGUGUACAUGCACAUAGGCAAGGCAGUGUACGCGGUCACCUGGCGCAGAAGCUAAUUAACUAGUCAGGUAGAUAACGAUUCACCUGUUUUGGGCAGUUCACUAGUUCAGGUAAGCACGUCACCUGUGGCUACCUGGAUAUCACCUGUCUGGGGUAAUCAGGUUGGAUGGAGGGGGUCACCUGGGGGGCUAAAUUAGGACAGGUAAUCUAAUGCAGAAGUGGUUUAAAAUGGAUACAGAUGAAAUGCUUGGUUAUCUUUUUUGUAGUUAUUUUCUCAUGCUGUAUAGUUGAUUAGAGGUUACCUGGUGUAGUUCGUUAGCUAAAUUAGGACAGGUAAUCUAAUGUGGAAAUGGUUUAAAAUGGAAAUGAUUGAUGUCCUUGAUUUCUUUUUCUGUACAGGUAUUUUCUUGCAUUGUAUCGUUAAUUAGAGGUCACCAGGUGUAAUAUAGGUGACUUAAUUAGGGAAGGUAGUUUGUUAGCUAAAUUAAGACAGGUAAUCUAAUGCGGAAAUGGUUUGAAAUUGAUUAUAAGUCCUUGGUUAUCUUUUUUGUACAGGUAUUUUCGUGUUGUAUAGUUAAUUAGAGGUCACCAGGUGUAAUAUUAAAGGUAACAUCAUUAGGAAAGGUAAAUCUAACAAUAUCAGUCAGAGAAAAUGGUUUGAAAUAGAAAUAAAUGACGUGCUUGAUUUCCUUCUUUGCACAGUUAUUUUCUCGAGCUGAAUCAUUAAUCAGAAGUCACCAGGAGCAAUACUGUAGAUAACAUCGUUAGGGAAGGUAAAUCUAACAUCACCUGUCAAAGAGUAUGGUUUAAAAUGGAAAUACAGUACUUGAUCCAUUUUUUUGUUAAGUUGUUCUAUAAAAAGAUGAUUUCUAUGGCAACAUUUGGCUAUAUCAGUUUUAAAAGGUCCAUCAAUUUUUGUUUAUCAGUUUUUAUAAUGAGCUGCUGUCAAUAUAUUUUUCUUCCUUUAUACCAUCAUAAUAAUUUUUGGGGUCGCUUUUUAACCUCUAUAAAUUAACGGACAUUUUCACUUUAAUAUCAUGUGUGGUGACCUCUCAUUUUCUCUCUCUCCAGCCUUGACCUGACCUGACCCCUCCCCCCGUCAGUGACCUCCGGGAGAUCCUACAACAUGGACGACUGAGUGGAAGGUUCUUGUUGUUGAUGUAUAAACGAUUAAGACGCUAACACAUAUGUCUGAUCAUAAACCUACGCCUGUAAUAACACGUGGAGUUAAAUAAUGGAUAGUUUAUGAUUAAUGGAUUGCUCUGCCUAAUGCUAUGACAGUCCGCUCCAGGGUGUGACAAAGAGUGCUCGCUAAAUGGCAGUGGCUGUUUUUCUUUCACUGGUAACUUCUUUAUUUUAGCAGGAAAUGGACAGAUGCUAUUUUCUCCCUUCCUCGGUUAUUUUCAAGUGAUUAUUAUAUGGUCGUGAUUUGUAUGGAAAAUUUUGAGUGCCUGGUAAUUACUUUUUCACUCUUAUUGGUUUAUGUUGACAAGAAAUGGACAGAUGCUAUUUUCUCCCUUUCUCGGUAAUUGUCAAGUGAUUUUUAUGUGGUGGUGAUUUGUAUUGAAAUUUUAAGUGCCUGGUAAUUUUUCGCUCCUUUUGGUAACUGUCAGUCUCUUGUGUGAUGGUGGUAUAUAAGAAAAACUGGACAGCAUUUGUUUCCCCUUUCCAGUAAUUCAGUUCAUCAAAAUAUGGGAGUGGUAUAGAUCGGGAACCUCACUGCAUUGCUUUUUACUUUAAUUUCUCAGCUAUAAUCAGUCAAGUCGUUAAUCAAUAUAUGCUCGUGGCAUGAAAAGUUUACAUUCCCCGCAAUACACCCGACACCUUUUCCAUUACACACAUACAGGUUCCAACACCCUAUACAGUACCAAGACCAAAGCAAGACAAGACUUCUAAAACCCUUCCUUUCCUUCUUCUUUCAUGUUAAUUAGUAAAGUGAAGGUUCCAACACUCUUGUCAAUCCUUUAAAUCAUCAAUGAGUUUCAGAGGCUUCUAAAAGUGUAUAUACAAAACUGAUAAAGGAGAAAUAAGAGAGAAUUGAGAUAGAGAAGAUGAAAAGAAGAGAAGAAUAGUGAUGUUGAAAAAAUAAGAGGAAAUAAUCUAAUCUAAGCCUCCAUGUCAUAAUAUAAUAUUAGCUGCUUUAAUAGAAGGGAAAAAAAGAGAAAGAUAAGAAUAAGGAAAGUAAGAAAACAGGAAAAGAUGAAAGGAAAAAUAGAAAAGGGAUAUAGAGAAAAAGAAGGAAAGUGAGACAAAAGAUAAUAAAAGUAAGGAAAAGAGAUGAAAUGAAAAGGAAAUGAGAAAGGCGAAGAAGGGAAUUAGGAGAGAAAAGAGGAUGAAAAAUAAAACAAUAAUGAGAAAAAGACAAAAUAAAGGAAAAUAACAAGGACGAAGAUGAGAAUCAAAAGAGAAAAGAUGAUAAAGAAAGGAAAUGGGAGUUAACAAAUAAAAUAAAAAAUAAUAUAUAUAAAAAAAGGUGUGUAUUAGAACCCUCACUCACAUAUUUGCAACCCAACC